GUAAUUAUACUAACAAGUAAUUACUAACAAUAUUAUGCAAUUACGACUGAAGCACCUUGUCUCUUGGAAAGAAAAAUAACAUUCCUCGUCUCCUUAAAAUAAAAAUAUAUAAUUAUUCACGUACUAUUAGUGGAAUCAUACAAAAUUAUCUAAUGUUCAUGUGAUGUAGCUAAUUGCUUUACAAUUACGACAAUCAAGUAUAAUCCAUAACCCUGGCAAAAAGAGAGGAAGAUGUUCUCACUAGCUUCAAAUGCUUGCUCCAAGGGGAAUCACAUUGAUGGCAGUGUUGAAUUAGAUCCAAAGGCCUAAAGCUGGAACCCAUGUGUAUAGAAAGCAGGGAGCAAGGCAGGUGUCUGCUAUUUUGCCAUC
rnacentral:lncRNA from 1 species